GGACAAGGUUCCUUGGUAAGGCAGGAAAAGCAUCUGGAAAGGGUUAACAAGGAGGUGUGGGCCACCAUUUUGGCUCUGAUCUGGCUUCAUGGUUUCAAGAUGGAUGCUAAGGAAGAGUGGGAGCUUCUGACCAUGAAGGCUGCAUCAUGGCUCCGUGCUCAGAAUGCAGCAUGUGGGACAGAAUGUGUGAAAGCUGGAAUUCUGCUGCUGGGAUGCAGCGUGCAGAAAUCUGCUCUGGGGAUCUGAGGUCUUCACUGAGUGGCAUCACUUUCAGAAUCAUUACACAGAACAUUUACUCCAUUGUACAACUUUCUGAAUGCAUAUUACUCUUUAUAAACUCCCCAUUUAUAAUGAGCCUUGCUAUGUUAUUGAGCACCUACCCAGAACAGGUCUAACAACUCAAAUAAAAUCUUUUGUUUGAUGUCUUUGUUUAUUUUCAGUGAUUUGGAAAAGCUGGUCCUUGCGUUUUUCUUCAUUAGACUUGAUUACUGUGACAGUGUAUUUAUUGGUCUGCCAAAAAUAUCUAUCAGGCAGCUGUGACUAAUUCAGUAUACUGCUGUCUAAAAUAGAUAAAUAAAAAAAAUAGACUGGAAUACCAGAAUCUAAUUCCAGUCCUGAUGUCUCUUCUCUGGUUUCUUGUCUAUGAAAAAGUUGAUGUUGGUUAAUAAAGCUUUGAAAGAUCUAGAGCCCAAAUAAAGCUGCUUUCACCAAACUAAGGUAUUUUCAUGUACUUGCACCAUAAACUCAGUAAAUAAAUACAACACACUUGACUGAUAAGUUUUAAAGCCUUGUGUGUGGGAUUUCACUGUGACCUUCAGAAACUCCAGGAUACACACGGAUGUUCUUUGACCCUGUCCUGACUGGUCAGAGCUCUUUUGCAUAGAGGACCUGUUGAACAUUACUCAUAAUAUGUAAAAGUUAAAUCCAAAGUAUCCUGUAGCUUAAAGCUUUUCAUGUUGAAAUAUUC